UUUGUUUUGCUUUUCCAUUUCCCUAUUUAUUUGUCGUUCCCUUCGCCAAUUAUUCAGAAUUCAUCCACCACUAGGUCAAGCCGUCAAGGCGCCGCCUCCACGACCACCGCUAUUUAUACGGCGCCGAGAUCUUUGCCUGUGAUGCUGUUACUCUGUUUCGGUAGAUGCUGACUAUAUAGCCACUUCAUAUGUUUGACGAAAUGCUUAAGAGGGCUGCGAUUGAGUCCUUUUUCUGUUGUAAAGGACCUGAUUUUGGGUUUCCGGUUUUAGGCAGGUUUUUGAAGGGUGGGUACGAGUCUGAUGUGGUAACCUUUACCACUCUUGUCAAAGGGUUUUUAUUGGUUGGAAAGAUCCUUGUUGAUAUGGAAAUUGUUGGCCGAGGAACUGUGUGAGUCUAAUGAAUAUAAUGUCUUGAUUAAUGGGUUAUGCAAAGCUAUGUGAAGUGUUUACGCUCAGCUGCAAACCUAAUGUUUAUACGUCCAUUUUGGUCUUGGACAAUGCGAACCAACAAGCCGAGCAACAUGAUUUUGUUGCUUCAUAGCGAUGGUAGUCUCCAUUUAAUGUUGUGACAUAUAAUUCAAUAAUUAAAGGGUUAUGUAUCAUAGGAAAAGAGGAUGAAUUGUUUUAUAUUUGAAAUUUUUCGGCAGAGAUGAUGUUCCAAUUGAUAUGACAGAAAUGGUGUUCUAAUUGAUAUGAGAAAGAAACUUGCAAUAGCUUGCAUUUGUAUUUGUAUUUGUAUAUCUAUGUAUGUUCCAAUUGAUAUGACAGAAAUGAUGUUCUAAUUGAUAUGAGAAAGAAACUUGCAAUAGCUUGCAUUUGUAUUUGUAUAUCUAUGUAUGUAAAACCU